GCGCCGCCAGGGCGGGUUUUCUUUAGUCUGAUGUGAAAAGCCCCACGGGCUCAACCCGUGGAGGGUUCAUUGGAAAACUGGGGGAACUUGAGUGCAGAAGAGAAAAGCGGAAUUUCCACGUGUAGCGGUGAAAAUGCGUAGAGAUGUGGAGAGAACACCAGUGGCGAAGGCGGCUUUUUGGGUCUGUAUACUGACGCUGAGGCGCGAAAGCGUGGGGAGCAAACAGGAUUUAGAUACCCUGGUAGUCCACGCCGUAAACGAUGAGUGCUAAGUGUUAGAGGGUUUCCGCCCUUUUAGUGCUGCAGCUAACGCAUUAAGCACUCCGCCUGGGGAGUACGGUCGCAAGACUGAAACUCAAAGGAAUUGACGGGGGCCCGCACAAGCGGUGGAGCAUGUGGUUUAAUUCGAAGCAACGCGAAGAACCUUACCAGGUCUUGACAUCCUCUGACAACUCUAGAGAUAGAGCGUUCCCCUUCGGGGGACAGAGUGACAGGUGGUGCAUGGUUGUCGUCAGCUCGUGUCGUGAGAUGUUGGGUUAAGUCCCGCAACGAGCGCAACCCUUGAUCUUAGUUGCCAGCAUUUAGUUGGGCACUCUAAGGUGACUGCCGGUGACAAACCGGAGGAAGGUGGGGAUGACGUCAAAUCAUCAUGCCCCUUAUGACCUGGGCUACACACGUGCUACAAUGGAUGGUACAAAGGGCUGCAAGACCGCGAGGUCAAGCCAAUCCCAUAAAACCAUUCUCAGUUCGGAUUGUAGGCUGCAACUCGCCUACAUGAAGCUGGAAUCGCUAGUAAUCGCGGAUCAGCAUUUCUCGGUGAAUACGUUCCCGGGCCUUGUACAC
rnacentral:rRNA from 1 species